UUUUAAUGGAGCUUAACACCAUUGGACCGUUUUCUCCUCAUUCUUCCUCCAUAUGAUGAUCUAAUUAAAAACACAAGUAUUUUGUGGUAGGUGACGUGGGUAGAGCUCAAUGAGGCCCAAUGAAGAGGAGUUGAUAUGGAUUUGGGUGAAUACGAGGAAAUACCGGUCAUUGGGAUUCAGUGCACAGGAUUGGCACAUAUGCAUGUGGGAGCAAUUGUUCAUGUAACGAGGGGAGAAGUAACAUGUCACACUUAGUUUUGGAGAUAUUUCUUAUGAUAUCUAGGAGUAUCAAAUGGUUUCAAAAGUAUUAUCAAAUGACUUCUUUUCUUAUCCAAGAGAGACACCUAACACAAUAAAUGACUUACAAGGCAUAAGAUAUGAUGCAUGAAAUUGAUCUGAAGCCUAGCGCAUCACAUCUUAUGCCUUUUAGAAUUUGUGAAUAAGCUUUGAGUGACAGCCCAACAUCAGUCUGAUUGAAAGACUUGGCACAUCAUAUCUUAUGCCUUUCAAGUUGAGCUGAGCUCUAUUUGGGUUCUGAUUGGCCUGUUGUAGAGCUUACUAGCUUGGUAAUGUCAUGAGGCAAAGAAGCUCAACAAACAAUAAACUUUCCAAACAUUGUUCAUAAACACUACAACAACAUUCCUCACAAUCCAUGGUUCAACAAGGUGCUCUGUCAUUAGCCCUCAUUAUUUCAAUUCUUCUAUUUAGAAUUUAUUUUAUUUUGCUUGGACAUACAGACUAUAAAUUGUUGGGCUCUUUCAAAAUGUCAAGUAAUGGGUAAAUUUGAGUGUAUUAAUGA